rnacentral:rRNA from 1 species
AUUGAACGCUGGCGGAAUGCUUUACACAUGCAAGUCGAACGGCAGCACGGGGGCAACCCUGGUGGCGAGUGGCGAACGGGUGAGUAAUACAUCGGAACGUGCCCAGUCGUGGGGGAUAACGUAGCGAAAGCUACGCUAAUACCGCAUACGAACUCUGGUUGAAAGCGGGGGAUCGCAAGACCUCGCGCGAUUGGAGCGGCCGAUGGCAGAUUAGGUAGUUGGUGGGGUAAAGGCCUACCAAGCCGACGAUCUGUAGCUGGUCUGAGAGGACGACCAGCCACACUGGGACUGAGACACGGCCCAGACUCCUACGGGAGGCAGCAGUGGGGAAUUUUGGACAAUGGGCGCAAGCCUGAUCCAGCCAUUCCGCGUGCAGGAUGAAGGCCCUCGGGUUGUAAACUGCCUUUGUACGGAACGAAAAGGCUUCCUCUAAUACAGGGGGCUGAUGACGGUACCGUAAGAAUAAGCACCGGCUAACUACGUGCCAGCAGCCGCGGUAACAC